GAUGAACGCUAGCGGCAGGCUUAACACAUGCAAGUCGAGGGGUAUUGGUUUUCGGACCAAGAGACCGGCGCACGGGUGCGUAACGCGUAUGCAAUCUACCUUUUGCAGAGGGAUAGCCCCAGAGAAAUUUGGAUUAAUACCUCAUAGUAUAGUACUUUGGCAUCAAGGAACUAUUAAAGUCACAACGGCAAAGAUGAGCAUGCGUCCAUUAGCUAGUUGGUAAGGUAACGGCUUACCAAGGCUACGAUGGGUAGGGGUCCUGAGAGGGAGAUCCCCCACACUGGUACUGAGACACGGACCAGACUCCUACGGGAGGCAGCAGUGAGGAAUAUUGGACAAUGGCGCAAGCCUGAUCAGCCAUGCCGCGUGCAGGAUGACGGUCCCUAUGGAUUGUAAACUGCUUUUAUACAGGAAGAAACACUCCGACGUGUCGGAGCUUGACGGUACUGUAAGAAUAAGGAAUCGGCU
rnacentral:rRNA from 1 species